GCCUUGGGUCUGACAUAAAGGCACCGGAUCCUUUCUGAUUUUGGAAGCUAAGCAGGGUCAGGCCUGGUUAGUAUUUGGAUGAGGAGCUGCCAAUGAAUACCAGGUGCCACAGGCU
rnacentral:rRNA from 1 species